GUGAAUCAUCGAAUUUUUGAACGCAAAUUGCACUCUCUUCCGAGAGUAUGCCUGUUUCAGGGUCAGCCUAUAAAUAAUCGACAUCGUUGCUGUUUCGCGGUUUCGUUCGUCGGAGAUUGGGUCAUCUUCAUUCCUUUUGGUUUUAAGCGGCUUAAAAUUUUCUUUUUGUUUCCAUGUUCGUUUCUAAGAUUUUUUUCUUUUUACGUUUAUGGUUAU
rnacentral:misc_RNA from 1 species